rnacentral:rRNA from 1 species
UACGUAGGGUGCAAGCGUUGUCCGGAAUUAUUGGGCGUAAAGAGCUCGUAGGCGGUUUGUCGCGUCUGCUGUGAAAACCCGAGGCUCAACCUCGGGCCUGCAGUGGGUACGGGCAGACUAGAGUGCGGUAGGGGAGAUUGGAGUUCCUGGUGUAGCGGUGGAAUGCGCAGAUAUCAGGAGGAACACCGGUGGCGAAGGCGGUUCUCUGGGCAUGUCCUGACGCUGAGGAGCGAAAGUGUGGGGAGCGAACAGG